rnacentral:rRNA from 1 species
UACGGGAAGCAGCAGUGGGGAAUAUUGCACAAUGGGCGAAAGCCUGAUGCAGCUAUGCCGCGUGUAUGAAGAAGGCCUUAGGGUUGUAAAGUACUUUCAUCGGGGAGGAAAAAACAAAACUAAUAAUUUUAUUUCUUGACGUUACCCGAAAAAGAAGCACCGGCUAACUCCGUGCCAGCAGCCGCGGUAAUACGGAGGGUGCUAGCGUUAAUCAGAAUUACUGGGCGUAAAGAGCACGUAGGUGGUUUUUUUAAGUCAGAUGUGAAAUCCCUGGGCUUAACCUAGGAACUGCAUUUUGAAACUGAAAUACUAGAGUAUCGUAGAGGGAGGUAGAAUUCUAGGUGUAGCGGUGAAAUGCGUAGAUAUCUGGAGGAAUACCUGUGGCGAAAGCGGCCUCCUAAACGAAUACUGACACUGAGGUGCGAAAGCGUGGGGAGCAAACAGGGAUUAGAUACC